GGUGUAGUGGUGGGCACCUGAACAUUUUAAUGAUGCUGCUGUGAGCACACCAAAGAGAGCCAUGGCAUGCUGUGUAUUGUGUCAGGUCAGCUGUUUUAGAGGUGGAUUCAGCUCUAUUGCUUUUUCUUUUUUUUUCUAUCUGGAGCUCAAUCCACCUCCAUUGGUUCUUCAUCUGGAGGUAGAUACACCUCCAUUGGCUCCACAGCAGUGGUCACAGCACUGGCCAUUUCUUGAAGGCUGCUUAUGGGCCUCCUCCAUCUCUUUGGUUCCAGGAACCACUUCUCUUUGUUCCCACAUAAGAGUGGGGAGUCGCUGCCCCAUGUCCUUUUCAUUCCAGGCAUCACUGGCUAUUGCCAGAGGCCUGGAAGCUCAGUGAGUGGUGGGACAAACACAGGGUUUUUAUAGGGCCUGGAACAAAGUGUGGGAUAGUGGUGACUACUGUGACAUUAGGAAGACUCUGUGAUGACCCCUGUGAUGGUGGGAGUGGUGUUGAGUGGCCUGAAAGAUGCCCUUUGUGUGAGGAGUAAGAUGCUUGAAGGGGCUGAAGGCCCUUUUCCCAGAAUGGCUCCUCUAUGCCAUUUGGCUUGCCACAGACAAAGGCUGCCUAUAGGGCAUAGGGACAGCCCUGCACCUCUCCUCCUGUGCCCUGUCCUCCAUCCCCCUUCUCAUCCCAUGUUUGGGGUCUGUGUACCACAAGAUGGUAGCAGCGGUGUUUCUGGAGUGUCAGAGAUCUGCCACUACCCUUGCUGCCAUUGACCCAGCUCCUUGCAAGUGGUGCAGCUCCCCAUAUUUGACAGAAGCUAAGAGAGGAUGAAGCACCCAGAUGACCUGCAGGUAGGAAAGAGAGGCACAGCUGGCCUGUGCAAGGCCUUCAGCAGUCUGUAAAGGCAUUGCUGAUGUUCAAGUGCUGCUGAGCCCUUUUUUGCUGUCCCCAACUCCUACCCAUCUCCUUGGAGCAUGAAGGUGCCAUGCCUUGUGUCCUGAGCCCUGAGGGAGAGGGGAGGGGAGGGAAGGGCUGGGCCUUCUCUGGGCUGCUGCGCACUCUUUCUUUUGGCAGCGCUUUCAAACAGAGUUAGAAAAAUGAUUUACUUUAGAAAUGUGAGAACCAAUAAGAUGAGUUGAUUGGAUUUAGGUAUUUUUGUUUUCAGUAUUUGACAGUGAAUUGUGUUGAGGUUUAGAGGAAAUUACCUGCACAUAACAGAUAGUGAGAUUUACUUUCCUCAAAAAGCUUCUGUAAAAUUAAGUUGGUUUAUAAGUCACCCACCUCCCUGUGUAAGCAGGAAAAUUAAGUCCUUCAGAUUUCAACCCUGAAAGAAGGAGAUGGUGCUUCUGUCUGGAUAUUUUUUUUUUUUUCUGAACGGAUGAAGUAGUAGUUCUCCAGCUCACAGGUCUCCUAAGUAGCAGCAUGCACACCUUUGCCUGAACCAUUUUCCUUUCCCUGAGCAGCAUGUCGUUCUCUUCCUGAAUGCACCAUACCCUUCUUCCCUGAAGCUCCCAUUCUGCUUGCUCUGGUGGAGAUAUUGCACAUUACUAAGUUGCAUGUUGUCACGGCCUCAGUGCAAUUUAGUGUGUGCGAUACUUUCACAUGAGUGCAUGCACACGGGUAUGGCUGUGGCUUAAAGUUACUGCAGCUUUCAAUUUUGGUGGGGCCUAAAUUGCAUCGUAAAACGAUCUAAAGCCCAGAUCAGUAUUCUGAGUGAUGUCUUGAAACUCUUGUUAGUAGAAGUUUGGUUUGUACUCCUAGGAAGAUGAGCAUUGUUUGUUUUCAAUUUGAGAACGGUUAUCAUUAUUUGCUUCAUUUUCUUCAUUUGUCAUGAAGACACGCUUCAAAUUUGAUCAGAUUUUUCAUUGACUGUAUUAAUUUUCUUGAAAUCUCAGGCAUUUCUAAAAAGGAAGUAUUUCAGUCCAAAAGUAAUCACAUUCUUAAUUGAAAUUUGCCAAAAAGCCAAAGAGAGAUUUGGUAUGAAGAGAACCUGUAGUACCUGGAUGGCUGAAAUGGGAUCUUAAUAAUUUUUAAGCUUCUGUUUCUUAACAUCUAGAGUGAUCAGAAGUGAGGGGGAAAAAAAACCCAAACAUUUUAGCUGUUUAAAAGUACCUGGCUUAUUUAUUGUGGCAUCCAGGCAGUAAUGAUGAAGAAAAUGAAAUGGUGAUACAAUUCCCACAGAAAACAAUAAUCUUCCAGCAUGUUGUGCUAAUGCUUAGAAAAGCUAAAAAUGUGUUUAUUUUACUGCAACAUUAAUAAUGUCUUUCAGAGUAAUUUUUCAAAGCCAACUGUUAACUGGUUAUGUUUUGACUGAAUUUCUGCAUGCAUUAUGUGUUCCUUAGUAACAGGAGUAUCUUCUUGCAAAAAUCUGUUUUGUCAUUAAAAGGAUCUUAUUGAAAUAAGCUCUACUUACCGUGUAUGUCAAGAGAUGAGAAUAGAUCUAAAAAUGAUUCUGCUUUAGUGAAAUAAUUUGCUAGUCUAAAACUGGGAAUAACAGAUUUUUAAAAAAUUAAUGGAGGAAAGGAAACCUUCAUUUGAGUUACUGGAAAAAAAAAGAGUAUGAUCUGUAAAUGCAGAAGAGAUGCCGUUCUGUUUCUGUAUGUUUGUAGAACCAAACUGACAGUAAUUGUAAUCUGAUUAUCCCAGUGGGAUAGAUAGCAGUUUUUAUCUGCUGAGAGUUUUGACUCGCUCGUACCACAAUUUUGAAUAUUCUUAAAUAUUGUCUUAUAAGCAACAAAUAAAAAUAAAUUACAUGUC